rnacentral:rRNA from 1 species
UACGUAGGGUGCAAGCGUUGUCCGGAAUUAUUGGGCGUAAAGAGCUCGUAGGCGGUUUGUCACGUCGGCAGUGAAAACUCGGGGCUCAACCCCGAGCCUGCAGUCGAUACGGGCAGACUAGAGUGCUGUAGGGGAGACUGGAAUUCCUAGUGUAGCGGUGAGAUGCGCAGAUAUUAGGAGGAACACCGGUGGCGAAGGCGCCACUCUGGGCCGAAACUGACGCUGAGGAGCGAAAGCGUGGGUAGCAAACAGG